rnacentral:tRNA from 2 species
GUUCUCUUAGUUAAAUGGAUAUAACAAACCGUUCCUAACGGUUAGUUACAGGUUCGAAUCCUGUAGAGAACG